AAAAGAAAAACUGAGAGCGGAGAGAUUGAGAGUGGGGACAGCGAGAGAAAAACUGAAAGAGAGAGCUGGGGUUAGGGGUGAUAGGAAGAAAAAGGGCUUAGAAGAUCCAAGAAAACGAGAGAGGGAAUCGGGGAGGCAAAGGGGGCGGCUGAGAAGAAAAUCUGGAGCGGCUAAGAGGGAAGAAAGGAUACGGCGGAGAGCAAGGAGGAACCGCCAACCCUCACGCCAUUUACCAGCUGCGGACCUUCAUCAAGAAAAGCUCGCGUACCGUAAGUGGUUCUUCUUUUCCUUAUUUCAGUAUCUUGAAGCUUCCAAGCAUGAAUUUGUACGUGGGGUAUUAUGUGUAUUCUGAAUAUGUGUGAUGGAAAACCUAUGACUCCAGAAAGCUGUUAACUUUCAUGUUUUUCUUUCCUCCGUAAGCAGCAUGCCCAUGAUCCGUGAGUUGCAAAUUCAUUCCUAGUGUCUUUUCUUUACGAUUUGGGUUUAGGAAGAUUAACAAGGGUCUGCCGCAACAGGCCUUGACUUUGUUUUGUUUUGUUGCGGCGGUUUUUAAAAAAGACAACCUCUUUGGUCUGCUGAAUUUUUUCUGGAGUAGAUUAAAUUGUCUCUUGGGUGUUUGUUUGUUGUUAGAUAGUAUCCCAUGUGUGUUUAGCUACCAUUGUUUAAGUAGCAAAGGGUGGAGUAUUUUUGGAUUGCCACAAGUAGCUAAAAGCUGUUGCAGCCGUGACUUUCCCCCUGCUUGAUUAAGUUUUGCUCUGUUGGGAUUUGGAUACUAUGACAGCAGCCUUGCACUUUCGGGUGGUUGAAGCUUUUGCAUUGUUGAAAUGUGUGAUUUGUUUUGCCAUAUGAUUGGAAUACCGUGUGCACGUAUGCCAUGAGGUAGAAUCAUGUUUUGAAGUAGAGUUUAGUUGCAUGUUUAGACAAGGAUCAAAUGCCUGCUGGAAAAUGAAUUUCAGAUUGCCGAAAGCUUCAUAGCUUGCUGAAUUUUUGUUGCAGCAUGUUACGUUGUUUGGCAUGAAUAUUUCCUUGAUUCUGCAUCUUUUCCUUUUGCGUUUUACUGGUUUGAAUACCAAAGUUGUGCUCAAAAAAUCUGGGCUAAAGGAAAUGAAAUGCAGCAGUAACAUUAUUGGCAAAUGACAUGACUGGCCAUGGACGCAAGUUCCAGUCUUUCUUCUGUUGCAUUUGUAUUCCGUUGCUUGAACUGAAUUUUCAGUGAUAAUUUGAAGUCUUGCAUUAGAUUGUAGUUGUUGAAUUGGAAGGUUUUGCAUGGGUUGCUUCACUUUUCACAUCUAGGCACAUAACCAGAGGCUGCUGAAAUUUCAGACCAAUAGGGAAAGCUACGCUUAUCCUUACGUUGCUGCUGUUUGUUUUUCUGUUGCAACAGUUCACAAGCUGGGUUUGUGCAUCCAAUUUGCUAGUUAAAUCUUGUGUUAAGUGGAUUAAUGAAGAGGUUGCAUGUUUGAGCCUAAAAUGUUUGAAUCAUGUUUGAGCAUUUGCUGGAAAAUGCACUUCAGUUUGCUGAACCAGAAACUCACGGCUUUGUCUUGUUGUUUUCUUCCAUAUUCGGUUCCAAGCUUUGCUGAUUUCGUUAGAUUAUAGUUCCAGCAUGUUUCUUCUAAGUUUGGUUGCAUGAAUGUGCUUGAUUUGAAUAAAGAAUUGGCAUGAACAUGGUUGUAAGGGAAGAGAUUUGCUGAAGUUCUAAAAUGUUGCAACAAUUUAUUUAUUGGAAUUCAUUGCAGAAAUUUUUUUUUUUUUUUUCACUUUCGUUCGUAUGAAGGCUGCAUUAAUUUCAUGUUUUUUGACUUGGGUCAACGAUUUCUGGUUUGAUGAACUUGAUUCGUGUGAUGGAAUGGAUGUAAUUGUAGCUGGAAUUGGCCGCAAGUUUUGUGAAAAGGCAACAAGUUUUUGUAGCUGCAGAAAAUUCUGUUUCUUACGUAGUUGCAUGCAUGAUCAAGAAGGGAAAUUUGUACUUUGUUCCCUCUAGUCUCUAGCUAUGCUCCAAAGGCCCAUUUAUGUGUUUCGUUCUUGCAAUUGGGUCCUAAAACAUUUACACUUUAACCCCCCAAGUUCCCCCCUUGUCUUGGUAUGGUCCAAUUAGUUGAAUAAUUUAAUCACUUUUGUCAUUCUAGAAUCCUAAUUGCUCUUGGUAUGUUUUGACGUGAUUUUGGGUAAGAUGUUUAGUGAGUUUUAGGAUGCAUUUUGAGGUUCAAUCAGUUUAAUAGAUUUUUUUUAGGCUUGGAUUUGUAUUCUAAUCACAUUUUGCAUUUGAGUUUAGUAGGUCUCAUUUUCAGCCAUUACUUGACCUUUUCUUUGCCUUCGGAUUUUUGAAGUUUCUAGAGGUACUUGAUUUGAGCUUGAAUGCUUGGUUAGUGUUCACCAUUGAGUCUUUGGUAGCAUUAAUGUUUCAAUUCAAUUGCUUGUUGGCCUUCAUUGGUUACCAUGUUUUGCUAAGGUGAUGUUCGAUGCAUGGAUUUGUGAACCUUGUGUCUAAAUGAGCUUGUGGUUGCCUUUUUUUUAAUUUCCCUAAGUAAGUUGAUUAAUUGACCUUUUCAUGCUCAUGAACCUUUUGAGUUCUAAAAUGUUUCAAAUGGUCUUGAUGGUUUGGUUAAGGGUUGCUUUUGGAUCCUUAGGUAGUUUUGCUAUUUCAGAAAUUUGAUCAAUAACUCACUCUUGCUUAGAAUUCAUGCAUUAUUUGAUCAUUUCUAAGUUGCAAAGUGAAAGAGGAUUAGAUGUUCGACGAAUUCUGAUUGUUAUUCUAUCAUUCCAUUGGUGCAUUAAUCCUUUCCUUAAAAUGGUUUUAGCCCAAAUUAGCUUCUUCUUUAGUGACCAUAGCCCAAGCUGAGUCUUGUUCACCUUACUAGCAUUACACACGGGGGGAAGGUACAACUUCUUUUAUCCCUUUUUGUCUCUCCUAUGUGAUCUUAUGUGUUAUGUGAAUAUGCCUGUCUACUUCGCUUUCCUUAUCUCCUUGCAUGCAUUUACUUGCUUUUACUUUUAUUUAAGUUUUAUGGGGUAUGUGUACACCUCUUGGCUUGUAAUAGAUAGGGCUCGGAGAGCAUCUGGUCCAUUUCCCCUUCCCCUUUAUGCUUUUAUGGGGUAUGUGUACACCUCUUGGCUUGUAAUAGAUAGGGCUCGGAGAGCAUCUGGUCCAUUUCCCCUUCCCCUUGGUUGCUUGUUUUUGUUGCUACAUGUUUAAUUGCUUUGGUAGGCUCUUGCAUCUAGUCGAGCAUGCUAAGUGCUACGUGUUACGUGUUUACGAGCGUUUUGGCAUGUCUACUUGCUUUCAUAGCCAUGAAUGAAUGGAAUGGAUGAAUGUACGUUUCCGCUAGUCCAACGCUAGUCGGAAUUCAUAGAAUGGGCUAGUCCAACGCUAGACCCUUAAGGAUUUUCCCUCGUUAGCACAUCAUUUGCUUGUUCACCACAUAUCACGCAUUUUUCUUAGUUUUAUCAUUUGGCAUGAUUCUCGAACCUCUUUCCCCUCAUUUUAGGUUUUGCAUCCCAUACUAGCUAUAGGGUUCAUUUUGCUUGAGUGUCCCCUUCCGAUAAGGGAAACGAGCGAGUGUGGCUACUCGAUAGCCUUAGCACGCUAGUUUUGCCUUCUAAUCAAAGGGAAAAUAGAAGUCGAAAAGUUAGGAGUCAACCCCCGUACCCGACUUGUUGCAUUCCCCUAGGGUCAUACUUUCAUUUUUAUCACUUCCAUACUCUUUUAAUCACAUUUCUCUUACAUUUCUCAAUCCAUAUUUUUUCACUACCUCCUUAUCAUUUAUUUACUUUACUUCACAAAUGAAAUUCAAGUUUCACUUAUAUAUGUACUAUUCUAUCUUCAUUCAUUUGCACACACUAAUACUUUGAUUUUUCAUCCAAAUUCACACGUGCACUUUCUUUACACACUCACACACUAAUACUUUGAUUUUUCAUCCAAAUUCACACGUGAACUUUCUCUUCACAUGCGCACACAAACACUUUGUUUGUUUUACACCAUUUCAUACAUGAAUCUUUUCAUACACUUGCACACUUGCACUUGAGUCACCAUUUGCAUCAAUCGACCUCUAUGAGGUUUCCCUUUAUUGGCCGCCACAAUUCAUGUGGUCUGGGACCAAAAACCUCACGAGAGAUAUCAUAGAAUUUAGGAUUGCAUUUUUUCAUUUUUGCAUUCAUAUAGGCAUAAUCCAACAUGCAAUACAUACCCUGGGUAGAAAGUUAGGAAAGUUAGGGUUAAGUCACGCAACUAGCCUUGGCUAGGUCAAAGGGGUGCCUUGGAGUCUAUCCUUGCCUUCCCCUUUGUCAAACGUGACUCCCGAACCUUUUUCUUUGUUUUACGUAGACUAGGAGUCGUUUUAAAAAGGGUUUAUUAUUACUUGAUUUUAAAACUCAUUUUUUAGGUGACUUGGUACACCUUAAAUCAUUACCAAGUGGCGACUCCAAACUUUUCAUUUCAAAACCCUUUUUAAAACUAUUUUUUGGGUCGAAUCGUCGCUUUCCAAGUCCCAUUGAGACCCAUGUCUUUUCAACUCACAAAAAUCAUUUUCCAAUCAAAAUUGAAACAAUACAUCUUUCUCAAACGAUUUAUUUAUUUAUCAAAAAAUGGGGCGCGACAAUCCAAUUAAACCAGAAAAAUCAUCAAUAAAAUCAAAAUUUCACCAAAUCACUUCAAACCAAGAUAAAACCAGAAAUUUCAGCACUUUAAUCACUACUAAUCAUAUCUUAAGCAUCAAUAGGUGUAGGUGGAAGUUUAAGCUUUACUUACCAAGUAAACAAGAGAGGGGAAGAUGUUGGACACCUUAACUCUUCCAAAAAACUUCACUAAAACACUCACUAGCACCAAAUGGAGGAAUUUGAUGGAGUAGAAACUAGCUUAAGCACUUGAGUUGGAUGAUUUGAGCUUGUUGGAAGCUAAAAUGGUGAAGAGCUCUCUUCCUUUCUUCCUUAAGGUUGGUCGGCCAAAGAAGAGAAAGAAAUGGUGAUUUUGUGGUAAAUUUUAAGAUAUUUAACCAUGGGUCAAAAGGUCAAAACAAAAGAAUAAAAAUCAUAAAGUCCACCCAAUGAUCUUGUGACACAUGGCAUCUCAUUAAAUGCAAUUCAAUCCUUUGGUCACCUCUCACAUCAAUCACCUCACACUCCUUUACUUAUCCAUUAACACCCGAUAAAUUUUUCACAGUAUCCGGAACUUAACUUAAUUGGCCGAAUUUUUCCGAACUUUUCGCACUAGUGGGUCCCACGUCCAAUAUACGUUCUUAUUUUCUCAAAAGCUAACCGAUACAUGAAAAAUCAUCUAUAACCCAUAUUUACUCAUGAAAAUUAUCCUGGAGAUUUUUCUAAUAAACAAAAUGCGGAAAAAGGCGGGCGAUAAAUAACUCCACUUAAACUUUCUAAUAUUGUAACACUAGAGGUUUGCUAAUCAUUCAAACUUACUAAACCUUUGUAAUUAAAACAAAUCCUAUAUUUACUUACGUCAAGGCACACACUAGAAUACCGAAUAUAAAUUAUAGCUUGAACCUUAUAAUAAUAAUACGUAAACUAGGAUUUCCAAACUUAACCGAAUUAGGGUUUCCUUCCUAGCCAUAAAACCCUAUUUUUUCCAUACCGACUAUCAACUAACCCUAAUAUCGACUUACGAUCGGACUGGGGCCUCACAAAGGGCUUCAUCAAUCAUUAGCCCUUGACAACCAUCAAUCACUUCCAACCACAAUUCAAUCAGGAAUUCAAAUCACAAAUAAGCUAAAUGUUCGAUCCAAGUCAAAAUUCAGUUUCAUGAAGAAACAGGACAUUCAAGCAGGACAGUCUACUUUGAGGAGUCACGGACAGCAGUACACAUGGAGGAAAAAUAUGAAAUUUCUACAGAACAAAGGCCCAUGAUUCUGGUUUCAAAUGCCACUGACGGCACCUUAAACGGAUUUUCCUAGACCAAGAUAUAAGCAUUUUACUGAGACUGGUCAGUGAAAUCCGAAAAUCUGAAAACUCAUUUUUCACUUGUGAAAAACUCCUUUUUCUCUUUUAACACCAUAAGGUUUUUAUUCAAACCAUCCAUACAUUUCUUAUAGAACUCUAAAACAACAUAUUCCAGGCAUUUCCAACCAUUAUGUUUCAAAGAAAAAUUUCAAAACCAAGCUGAGAUUCCAACUCAACCUUCGGCUAUCACAAAAGAAAUUCCAGCAUUUAUAUACCAACAUUUUUGGUUCCAUCUUUCAAUAUAUCAAAUAUUUUAUUGCUAAACAACUUACACAACUUAAAAUUUACAUCUCCUAUGUAUAUCUAAACCAUUAUAUUCCAAGGAAAAAAAAUAAAAUAAAAUAAAUUUCCAGAAACCAAUUAAAAUUUCCAAAGACAAACUGAAAAUUCUGGUUCAUAACCCUCGGCCAUCAAUACCUUUCCAGCACUUAGGGUUUUAUAAAUCCAACUUUUCCUUGGCUAAAACAUGGUUUUAGAUUCUCAAAUUCGUCAUGUGAACCUUUGGCUAGCUAAUUAACAUUUCUGGUUCAAAAUCGAAUUCGAAUAACAGCUUCAAACAUCCCAAAAAAUCCAGAAAUCUGUCCAGCUAGUCACGGAUGAACAUGUAUGAAGAAACUUUCUGUUUUCAUUUUAUUUUCUUGGUUAAAACAUAGUAUUACUUACUCAAAUUUGACCUGUAAACUCUUAGUUAACCGAUUAACAUUUCCAGCUCGAAAUUAAGUUCAAACAACUGUUAUAAUCCUCAAAAUUUCCAGGUUUAAACUCACGGUAGUUCACAAAAAUUUUUCCAGAAAUUGUAUGUUCUUAAUCUAGCUUUUUCCUUGGCUAAAUCAGCAUCUUAGGAACUCAAAUUCAACAUGCAAAGCCUUAAUCGUAUUAAUCAUCCAAGUUUAAGUUAACUAAUCAUAAUCUCAGGUUUUGAUCAUCACAACAAAGCAGAUUACAUCAUGAAAUUCUUAAUCAAUUCUCGGUCAACCAUUUUUUUUUCAAAACAAAAUUUUCUUAUGCCUUAACAUCAUCAUCCGAGUCUAGAUUCCACAUGCAACACCCUAAUCAACUUAAUCUUUCACUUUUUAGUUAACUAAUCAUGAUCUCAACCUCAGGUUAUCAAAAUUGGACAGAUUAGAAACUGCAUUACCUUGUUAAUCCCUCGGCCGAACCAUUUAGCCAUCCAAUCAGAUUUUUCUUUUUCUAAUGUCUCAUCUGAUGGUUUAAAAUCAACAUGCAAAGCUUAAUCCUCUAGUCCUAAGAUAAGUAAUCAUAUUUCUGAGCUCAAAUUACCACAAAUGAGUGAGAUUAAGGCUGCACUUCCAACUCAGUUUCGGCCAAGUAGGUAUGCGCACCUCAGAAAUUUCUUUCUGCUUUCCUAGAUCAUCAACCAAUGCCCAAAAUUCAACAUGCAUGUCACUAAUUAGUUCCAUCAACCUCAAAUCAGUUUAAUUAGGCUCAGAGAUUACCUCAGAAACACUCAGCUCCCACACGAAAAUCUGGAAAUUUUCUUUCCUUCCUCUCGACUUCUCGCGCAGGUUUGGUUCUGGUUUGAUGAGUUGCGGCUGGGAUGGUCAAAUGCAGCUUGGUUGAGGUUGCAAAUGGCCACGACUGGAAGAAGGGAAGGUACAGGAUCGAUUGUUUUCACGCGUGGUCCUCUGAUUUCUGCCCUCAGCUCGCGGUCAGUGUGAGGACUCGCAAAUUUCUUGUAUUUUUCUCAAAAAUAUCCUUUUAUUUGAAAAUUAUUAUUUAUCAAAGCCCACUACCCAAUUAUUUCACAAUAAGUGUAAGUAAACCUAGAAAAUAGGGUGUUACGCUUCGGUUUCAAGUUUGGAGCAAAAUUAGGGUUUUCGCGAUUUUUUCGCCGGAUGAAUUUUCGGUACAGAGUAAGGAUUAAAUUUGAGAAUUAAAAGUGACUUUUAAGUGAGAAAUAAUAUGUGAUUGGUAGCAAUGAUAUAAGGUUAGUGAAUGGGAAGUAAAAACCCUAGUACGUGAGUUUUUAAGAAAAACGGCGCGAACCGGCGGGUCCCGCACACUACCGAUUGAACGCACCACUUGACCACCACUUUCUUACCCUACAAGUUCAUUGAUACUUGAGUAAAAUAUCUUCUUAUAUUACAGCUAAGGCUGACCAAAACUAGUGGCUAGAAAAGAAGGAAAAGAAAGAGAGAAAAAAGAAAGGUGGUGGUGGCGACAAGUGUCGCCACCUAAGAGCAUCUUGACCAAGACACUUUGGCUUCUUACUUAACCAAAUUUUUCACCUUUCCUCUCCAUAUUUCUGCUGCUGGCCGAACCAAAGAGUGUGAGAAAGUGAGAGUAAGAAAAAAAAACAUUCCAUCUUCUUGAUUUGCUACAACUAAGUGAGGAAUUCCAAUUCCAAACCGAUUAAAGUGGAGGUUGUGAGUUGGGAAGCUUGAGGAACCAAGAAAUUUCAAAGGGAGUGAACUAUCACUCAUCCAAGUCUUGCUUUAGAGGUACAAAUCUGGUCAUGAUCCUUGUUGCUUAAAUUUUGGGUUUAAGAUGAUUUUUAGCUUAAGUUUUGACUUAAUUUCAUGAUUAUGCAAGUGGUUGUGAUGAAUUUUGGGAUGAAUAAGCAAGCUAGGGUUUCAUAGCUCUCUGCCUAAACUUGUUGUAUGAUUGUAAAUGUUGUAAUUAAGGUUAUAUAAGGUUGUUUGGUGGUGAUUAGAAUCAGAAAUUUGAGAAAAUUCCACUAGAAACUGAAAAUUUCAGAAUUCUGGAAAAUUGUUCUUCUAUUCUGUCCGGUUUUGUAGUCCUAUGAUAGAGGCCGAAUUAGCCUUAGGUCAAAGAAGGAAAGUUGUAGAGAAUGGUAUUUUAUAGGUGCCUAAAAAAUUUCAGCUCAAUCAGAGCAACGUAGGACAUGCAAAGUCCAAAAUACCCUUACUGUUUUAAGUAUUUCCCAAGCAGUCCGUGUGAUCAGUUAAGUCCAGUUUAUCACGUUUUUCGACUAGGAUCCAUUCUGAUUUAGCUUUUUGCCAAAACAUGAAAGUUGUAGUAUUCUGAAUUAGCUUUCAAAUGUCUCUAAGAACACCUGAUUUGGACUUGUGUACUCUGAGAUAUGUCCAUUACAGUGUUCUGCGUUUAAACAGCCGAUGAAUUGGUUUCUGGUUUAGUAAUUCGAGAAUUUGACCACGUUACAUUAGAAACUGGACUAAGUAACCUUCAUUAACAUUGUAACCCUGAGUCUUAGCUUCGAAACGGCAUAGGUUACGUCUUAAUCCGAUAAUCGUAGCCUCGGAUACGUUAUUUCCGCUUUCAUACGUCAAAUCUGUCUUUUGCUAAAUUGAAUUUCAGCACUUGUUAUUACUGUAUUUCUUAUUCUUAUGAUAUUGUGAGCCUAUGGAACGGCUCUUGACUUGAAUUGCUUAUGUGUGAUGUUGGGUUGUGGUUGAGGAAAAAUAAUGAAGCCAAAAUGGCUGGAAAAUUAGGUAAACACAAAGGGCGUGCUGCCCAAAUUUUCGCCCGAGGUCUAGGUUUCUAUUUGAACUUGUAUACUUUUGUUAGGCCAAUACCAUGACCGGUUUUCCAUUUUAAAACAUGAUUUUUCAUCCUUGGGUUCAAACAACCCUCUUCUUACUUGAAAGUCAUCUUUACACGUUUUACUCUUAAUUAGUCGGGUAUCUUCGUUUCCCUUAAAUGUUUUGCUCGAUAAACUGUAAUAUGUUCUCUUGUUCAACCUUAGGUUUCAUUGGUGACUAAGGGUAAUAUCCGGAAGGAUUUUGCAUGUUAUUUUGCAUAUCUAGGUGAGUGUUCCUUAUUUGACUUUAUGGCUUGUUGUUAUCAUUUGCUAAUGUGUUAAUUGCUUUUAAUGAUUUCCAAAACGAGCUUUCUAGGCGAGUGUGUACUUUAUCGCACUCGACCUAAAUAACUGUGCAAUUUUCAAGGAUUUAAUGAUUGAAAUGUUACUUGCGCAUGAAUGUAAGCCUUUUGGGCUGAACUGGCCAUUGCCCCUUGUUACCGGUCGUCUCGAGCCAGAAGCGGACUCGGUCGGGUGAUUAGGGAUUUGGGUGAACGUUUGGUAUACUCGAGUAUUACCGUGUAGGUUGGUAGAGACUGGCCAAUGGCCAGGACGGGGGUGAAUGAAUGAAUGAACGAACGAACGAACGAACGAGGGUUUAUUGAUAAACGAAAAAUGCAUUUUCUAAUGAUUGGAGGAAUAAGGGGAAAUGUCAGGAGAACGAAUGAACGAAAUAACGAAUUGCUCCUUGUGAGCCGUAUCCUUUUAAUGAAUGUGUUACUAUCGCUUUCCAUUGUAAAUGUUUCUUGAAUUAUUGAUACUCCAUGUUUAAUGUAUUGGAUUGAUUAUCUGAUUAUGUGUUCGGAACCUCACUGGGCUUUUAGCUCAUUCCUUUAGUUUUGUUUUCCUUACAGGGGAAGGCGAGCGAGGACGUGAGCUUGAGAUAGACUAGCCAAUCUAGUUUUGUUUCUUUUGUUUCUUUUGUUUCUUUUGUAGCGGUUCUCGCCUAGUGCUUCGCACGGGCUGGACGUAUGAAAGAUUGAGAACCCUUGUAUAUUUGAUGUUUAUAUUCUCUUUUGGGUUGGCAAUGUAUAUAAGUUUCGCUUUAAGUUUGGAUCAAUGCCCUAUUUAUUCUAGUGAUUUAUUUCAAUUUUUAAUUGAGAACUGUAGCGAACGACUGAGUCCCGGCGAGAGCUGGGCAGGCGGCCCGCCGAACCCUCUGGUACGCCUUAGGGGGAGGUGGGGUCGUCACAGUCAGAAUAAGAGAAAGAAAAUUUUUGCAGCUUGCUUUCUCGCACUCUUGCUCUCGGAUGGCUGGUUUCUUACCUCUCUCUCUCUCUGUCUUCUUAGCCAGGUGAAGGUGGGGUGUGGUGGUACGAAGUGGAGCAGAAAUGUUGCUAUGUUCUGGUUUUGUAAUGGAGAUGGAGUCGCGGUUUGAGAGGAGUUGGAGUGUAUGAAAUGGUUGCGUGUAGAAUUGGUAAAAAUGUGAUUGGCCGAUUGGGGCGGUGAUUGAAAUGCUGUCAGAGGGAUUGUUUGGUUUUGCAUGGAAAUGUUGUGGUUGUAAGGGCAUUUUAGUCUUUUCACUUUGCUCCCUAACCUCUACUUAAAUUCUCCAUUCUAACUUAACUCCAAAAAAUUAUCCCCAAGUGUGAUUUGAAAGCCUAAUUAUACACUAGUCAUGCAAGACUUUAAUAAUCGAAAUUUCAUGCCUUGAGUAUGUUUCGCAUACUUGUAUAAUAUUUAUCUAAAAUUCAUUGAUGUCGUCUUACAGUGAAAAAUUUCCUUUUUAACCUAUAAUGCUAGCAACUAAUUGGAAUUAAUCAUUGAGUUUCGAGUAAUUUAUUUUAAAGUAAUAAGAUUAAUCGGCUCAAGUAUCAUUAAUUUUUGCAUAAAGGAAUUUAAGUAUUCUAACAUUUUAUGUUAAGGCGAAAAAUUUAAUCUAACUCUAAAGACAUUACUUUAGUUUAGCAAAACCAAGAAAUUUCAUAACUUAGGAAAAUUAUAUUAUUUUUCACAUAAACGUAUUUUUACGUACUUAAUUGCGAACAAGUAAAAGUAAUGCUAGAAAUUAUUAAGGAAUAAAAGAAAUGCAAAUGAAAUAUGCACUGGCUUAUAUAUAUUUUCAGGGUUCUCACACACAUGUCUCUUUACGUUUCCCUUUUUUCAUUAUGGGAGUUUCCUUCACUACCCUUAACUUGGUGCUAGAAUAUACUGAGCUGAAACUUGAAUAGUGGAUCGCAUCCCCUCGAGCUUUUUUUUUUUUUUCUGAAGUUCCUCCAAUACUCCUUCGCAUUUCUUUUCCAUUUCCAAGUUCUUGUUCCAUAAUUCCAUCUUCUCUACAAACUCUUGUUUGCAUCGUUCUUCCCAGAAUUCAACAAAUUUAGUUUGGAAUUCCAACUCCUUGCGAACUGUGAGAACCCGUAAAUUUUCUUAUUUUCUAGGGCUUAUUUUAUUUAAUCGCACGCUUUUCUAUAAUUUCUUUGUUAGGAAAAUUUUCUAAUGGGUAAAUAGGGUUUUUACAUUAUUUUUCUAGUAUAAGUUAGGUCAUGAGAUUUUAGAAGUAUAUACCGGGCGUGGGACCCGCUAGUGCUGAAAGUUAGGUAAAAUUUGGCCGGUAUGGUUGAGUUUUGUAUACCAGGAUUAAUUUAGUAGGUGCUAAGACAUAACUAGAGGUUACUAAAUGAAGUGGUGUGAGAGGGACAAAAGGAUAGCCAUGCAUUAAUGAAAGUGACAAGUGUCACUUAGUGAUUAACCUUUGGACUUUGACCAAUUUCUUACUUUACCAAUUAAAUAAAAAAUUUACCAAAAUCAUCAUCAUUUGCUGUGACGACCCCAUCUCCCCCUUAGGCGUACCAAAGGGUUCGACGGACCGCCUGCCCAACUCUCGCCAGGACUAACUCACUCGUAUCACAUGCUUACAUCCAUAGAUAAUAAUCAACAUCGCAAUUCAACUUAUAAGUUACAUCGAUGAAAAAUCAAGGUACAAAGCCUCUAGAUACCCAAACUGGUUCAAAGUGUAUACAAUCCAAAUACAAAACAUUCUAUUCGAGUAAUAGUGCGAGUACAAGUCAAAAGUCAAAACCGCUAGGCUACGCUAGUCUUUAUACAUCUCAUGCCUCGCUCGUACCCCUAUAAGGAAAACAAAACUAACGGAGUGAGCCAAAGCUCAGUGAAGUUCCAAAUAUCAAAUUGGCCAUCAAACAAAGUAAUAACAGUGUAAUAGUGAAAUAGCGAGCAAACAAGUCAAAUCAGAGAGAUAACACUUCAGACAGUCGAGAAAUAUAUGGAUCAUAUUCACAGGUAAGGAUACCGUAGACACCAAAUUUUUGGUGUAAUUCCAUUUACUGUUUAUUUUUAGUUUUUUAUUUGUCGUGUUAGUUUUAUUCGAUUUUUAGUUUUUAGUUUAUAGUUAGUUUAUUUUUAAGUUUUAGCAUAGAAUUUUUUUAAAAAAGAAAAAGAAAAAGGAAAAACAUUCAAAAAAUAUGCUUUAGUCGUUUUCUUUCUUAUUUAAAUUCAAUGUUUUCUUGAAAAAUAAAAAAAAAGGGGAAAAAGAGGAAAAAGAGAAAAUUGUUCACAAAAUAUGUUUAUUUCUUUUAAAUUCAACCUUUUGGCAUUUUAUUUAUUUUUAUUAAGUUAUUUUGAAAAAAAAGAGAAAAAAGAGAAAAAUGAUGAAAGAAGGAAAAAUGAGGAAAAUUUGAAAAAUGGACAUUUUUGUUGUUUUUAUUUAUUUAGUUUGUUUUUUUAUUUAUUUGUUUUCAUUCUUAUUAUUAUUACAUGGUUUUGUCAUUUUGUUAUUAUUAUUAUCUAUAUUAUGUAUUUAUUAAGUUAAAAAAAAAAAAAACCAACGCGCAGCAUGCAAGCUGCGUUUUUUGCAGCAGCUUGCAAGUGAACUUUGGGGAGAUCCUUAGUUGCAAAUAUAGCAGAAGAUCCUGGAGUUUUAGGGUUGGAGGUUGCCCAUAUAAAAGCCAAAAGGAUGGACAGCCGCAAGGGGAGAGUUUUUGGAGAUAGAGGAACCGGACAGAGUGGGCGGCUGAGAGUUUGAGAGCUUCGUGAGAGAGGGGGAGUGAAGGGGGGAGUGCUAAGCAGAGGAAGACCGUGAGAAAGCUAGAAAGAGAGAGGGGGAGUGCUAAGCAGAGGAAGACCGUGAGAAAGCUAGAAAGAGAGAGGGGAGGUGAUAGCUGAGGAAAGGGAAGGGAAACAAAAAACGCUGGAGUCUUGAGGGAGAGGACCCAAGAGAGAGUUGACGGCUAGAAAAUCCAGAGAGAAAGUUGAGCAGGGAGAGUGACGGAGAGGUUGACGGCUGAGGGAGUUUUGGGAGGCAUCAAGCAAACAACAACGGCGGAAAGGAAAACUGAGCCAGAGGGAAACAGAGGAGAGAGCAAAGAAGAAGGAGGCAUCGAUUGACGGCGAGAGGGUUUCUUGGGGACGAAAAAGAAAGAAAUGAAGGGAGAACUUGACGGCUGGUUGAGAGAAGGAAGCGACGAGGUCUUUAGACGGAAAAGAACGCAGCUUUGUGGCGGUGGAAAGAGAGAAAAGUGAGAGAUUGAGGGAAGAGACCGAGAGCUGGGGGAAAAAGAGGUUUGGUAACAACGGCUGUUUUUGAGAGAGUUGAAACCGAGAGAGGGCAGAGAAGAGAGGAGUGAAGCAGGGAAAGGAGGUUUCAGGUCAAACGGACAGAGAGGAGUUUGUUCUUUGGAAGAGAAAGGAAAUGAAGGAAAAGCUGCAGAAUGUUGCGCAGCAAGGGCUGAAAAGCAGCCAUCUUUGAGCUGCAAUAUCUCUUUGAUCUUUGCUCCUUUCAAGAGAUUUUCAAGUUCUGCACCAACUAGGAAGUAAGGGGAGAAGCUUUCUCUUAGUAAUCAUUUGCAGAAAAUCUUGAUAAAGUCUUCGAAUUUGCCUCCCAAAAUCGUUGAUCGAUUCCACGGGUGCGGGUUCGACGCCGCAGCGAAGAGAUUCCAGCGGUUUCCUUUUUGCGGCGUUUCCUGUCUUGUUUUUGAAAAGUUUUCAUCAGGUAUCAUCCCAAAACAAUGUUCCAACUGAUUUCACUUUCAUUUGCUUUCGCAUUCCUGGGCCUUGUUUUUGUUUGUCAGUUUUCUUGCUGUUUUUCUUUCUCCGUGGCCCGCAAUCUGCCCGUUUGUUUUGCAACUUAUCUUAUCAGAAUUCAUUGCAUGAAAUUGGGAUGGAUUUUGUCUGUAAUUUGGAUAUAUAAGUCUCUGGCAUUUGGGUUUUAAAAAAAUUUGAGAAUAUGACAAAGUUGCAGCAGAAAAUUACAUGAAGUUCUUUAAAAAAAAACAAAAGAGAAGAUCGCAUGUUUUGAUGAAGUCUUGUGGAUUUAUGACUGAAGCUGACAAUUUUCUGGAAUUUUACUGAGUUUGUUUUGUGCGAAUUACAUUCAGUUUGGGCUGUCAAAUGCAUAGAGUUUGUUUGAGUUAUCACACACAAACAUAUCUAGGCUGAAGUAGAAAAAUUGCUGCAUUCGUUCCUAUACUUAUGCUGUUUUCCUCUACACAACAGCUCAUCAAAGGAGUUUUGCCACAUAAUGGGCUAGUCAAUAUUGUUUCGAAAAGGGAAAUUAGAAGAGUGGUGUUGAGUUUGCAUGGUUGGGAACAAAAAAUACUGGAGUUGGCCGAAUGUUUUUGCUAAACCAGUUAGGAUUGCCGAACCUUUUGCCCAGAAUUUUCCAGCUUUUGCAUGUUUUUUCUUCUAUGUUUUGGGUUGGUUCGAAUGUUGAAAUGAUUAUUAUGACACUUAGAUUGGUUUUGGGAGUUUGUGUUUAAACAAACUUGAGUUGGAAUUGAAUGCUUGCUGGCGACAUAGACAAUGAGUAGCCGAAUCAUUUGCAUGAACCAAGAAGAUUGCAUCAGUUUCUGCUAUGUUUUUUGCUUGGUUGGUGUCCUUGUUUUUGUUUGCUGCAUAACUGGGUUGCUAUGGACAUAUUUGCUAUCAAAGCUGCAUUUAGAAUUUUCCUGUUGGAAACUUAGAGACAAAAGUCAUCAGCUCUCUUUCAUGUGUGAAACCAAUAGGGAAAAGCUGCAUUUUUCUUCAUCAUUUUUCUUUCUUGAACAGCCGUUAAUCUGGGUUCCUUUUUGUAUGUUUAGAUGCUGCAAUCCUGCGGGUUUUGGUUCAUGUCAAAGUCUUGUUUGUUUGUUUGAAUUUGUUUCCGUUUGAAGUUGAGUUUUAAGGGAAGGAUGAUACACAAAAAUCUGCUGCAACAAGAUCAUAGUCUUGGGUUGGUUGUGACAGUACUUGCUAGUUUCUUUUCUUCAUGAUUUGUUGAAGUUUAAGAAUUGAUUGCAGAAGCCUCUUGACCUUCUUUUGUUGCAUGAAUCUUGUUUGCUGGAAGUUGCUUGGAGGUGCUGCAAUUUUUGUUCUUCAAAUGUGUGCUUAUUUUUAGAAUUGUGCAUGGAAUCUUUUCUCAGUUUUUGUAUGUUUGGACGAUGACAAUGAUGUAGUUGAUUAUUUAGUUUAAAGCUGUGAAUUCGGAUUUGAACUUCUGUUCUUGAAUAGCAAGUGGUAUGCUUGAGUUUUGGUCUCGGUUGAUGAGAGUGGCAGCAGAAAAUUGCAGAAGUAAAGAAGCCUUUGGCAUUCGUUUGCAUGCAUGCAAAAUGUUAUAAUAAUUGCACAUUAAUCUCUCAAUUUGUGUUUAGUGCUAUUAUGGCCCAACUAAUUGGAUAACUUAAUCAAUUUAACCCUUCAAGUUUCUCCACGUUCCACAAAAGCCCAAGCAUGUUCCAGUUUCUUGCAAUAAGAUCCUAGGAUGAUUGCAAUUGAACCAUUCCUCCACCUUUUCUUUGCCUUCGGACCUUUGAAGUUCUUAAAAGUGUUUGACUAAGCUUGAAUGCUUGGCUAGUGUUCACAUUUGAGUCUUUGGUAGCAUUAAUGUUUCAAUUAAAUUGCUUGCUUGCCUUCCUUGGUUAUCAUGUUUUGCUAAGGUGACACUUAAGGCAAGAGUUUAAGAACUUUGUGUUCAAAUGAGCUUGUGUUCGCCUUUCUUCUUGAAUUUUCUGAAAUAAUUUGGCUUUGGUUUUUUUUUCUUGCUCUUGGAAUUUCAAAGUUUCUAAAAUGUUCCCAUUGGCUUUGAAUGGUUGAUUAAUGCUUGCAUUUGGGUCCUCGGUGGGUCCCUUUAUUGGAAAACUAUGUAUUGUUUGAUUUCAUUUAAAUUGCAAUUAGGGGAGAUUUAGUGACUUUGUGUUACUUUACUAUUUGAGGUACCGUGACAUUUUUAUUGUUUUGAAGCCAUUUUUCUUUCAUUUGGACAUCACUCGAAGGGGGCGGUAUAUUUUCUUUUAUCCCUUUUUGUGUCUCUCCUAUGUGACUCAACGUGCUAAGUGAAUUGCAUGUCUACUUUGCUUUCCCAGCUUUUCUUUAAUUCCUUUUACUUAUGUCAUUUACUUUUUGUUUUCAUUAAGUUAUUCUUUUAAUGGGAUAUGUGUACACCUCUUGGCUUGUAAUAGAUAGGACUUUGGCGAGCAAUUUGGUCCAUUUUCCCUUUCCCCCUUUUGUUUUAGUUAGUAAAUGUAAUAGGUUCAUUAGCUGGGUUGCAUGCCUACGUGUUAAGUGUUAAUUUGCUUUUGUUAGGGCCUUGCAUCUAGUCGAGUAUGCUAAAUGUUAUGUGCUAUGUGUUUAUGAGUGUUUGGCAUGUCUACUCGCUUUUCAUAGCCAUGAAUGAAUGGAAUGGAUGAAUGUACGUUUCCACUAGUCCAACGCUAGUCGGAAUUCAUAGAAUGGGCUAGUCCAAUGCUAGACUCUUAGGGAUUUCCCCUCGUUAGUACAUGUUUGCAUGUUCAUUACAUGUCAUGCAUUCUUUUUAGUUUUAUCAUUUUUGCAUGCUCCUCGAACCCCUUUCCCCUCACUUUAGGUCUUGCAUCUCAUGCUAGUUAGGGUACAUUUGCCUGAAGAGUCCCCUUCUGAUAAGGGAAACGAGCGAGUGUGGCUACUCGAUAGGCUUAGCACGCUAGUUUUGCUUUCUAAUCAAAGGGAAAAUCGAAGUCGAAAAAGUUAGGAGUCAUUCCCAUACCCGACCUGAUGCAUUCCUUUAGGUUCAUUCAUUCUCAUUUAUCGCUUACUCAUUUUUUUCAAUUCACAUUUCCUCAUCACUUUUCCUUUCCUUAUUGUUCAUUUUGAUUUCUACUUCACAAAAUUGCACUUAAUUACACCUAUAUGCACUUAUCACUAUAUUUCAUACACUUGCACACAAACACUUGGAUUUUUCAUACAAUUUCACACAUGCACCUUUUCAUACACUUGCACACAAACACUUGGAUUUUUCAUACAAUUUCACACGUGCACCUUUUUAUACACUUGCACACUUGCACUUUAGCCAUCAUUUGCAUUAAUCGACCUCUAUAAGGUUUUCCUUUAUUGGCCACCACAAUUCAUGUGGUUGGGACCAAAAACCUUACAAGAGACAUUUUAGAAUUUAGGUUUGCAUUUUUUCUUUCUUUUGCAUUCAUGUAGUGCAUCCAAAUGUAAUAAAUUCUUUGGUUAAAACAAGAAAAUCUUUGAUUAAAUCAUGCAACUAGCCUUGGCUAGGUCAAAGGGGUGCCUUGGAUUUUAUCCUUGCCUUCCCCUUUGUCAAAUGUGACUCCCGAACCUUUUUUCUUUGGUUCACGUGGACUAGAAGUCGUUUAAAAGGGGUUUCUUACUACUUUUUCCUAUUUUUUCUUUAAAAAUUCAUUUUUUAGGUGACUUGGUACACCUUAACUCAUUACCAAGUGGCGACUCCCAUUUUUUCAAAAAACCCUUUUUAAACUAUAAUUUUGGGUCAAAUCGUCGCAUUUUCAAACCCCCAUUUAGACCCAUUUUUCUUUUAAAUCACAAUUCAUUUUCCAAUCACAAGUUGAAUCAAAAAUACAUUUUUAAACCAUUUAUUUAUUUUAUCAAAAAAUGGGGCGCGACAGUUGGCGACUCCACUGGGGACUUUUGAGAGUCCGAGCAAAUUUGAUUUAAUCAACCUUUUCUUCUUUUAACCUUUUCAUAUAUCACAUUUGGGUGUUUUAGGGUUGCAUUUUUUCCUUUUUUAGGAUUUUUUGCAUUUCUCGCGUCCCAAACUACUCCCUCGCUCAUGAAUGUAUGAUUGGUUGAUUGGAUGUUUACUUACUUAUCUCACGCUUGCAUUGCAUUUGGGGGGGGUGUGUCACCUUUAGAGCCUCGCGUGGUUCUCAACCCCUUCCCUCAAAAUAAGGAGCACUUCAUACGUGCACGUUUAUUUAUUGUUAUCCCAUUUUAUUUUAUUUUUCGUGGGCGUUUCCCACACCGCCUUGUAGGAUUAGGAUCGAUCGCCUUGGGUAGGCGGAUGGUGUGCGCUGCGCCCAUAGCGCUACCUAAGGGAUCACUCGAGCCACCGAUCGAAGGCUUUGGGAGUGAUGACCCUUUGCCUUUAGGUCUGAAGGCUUGGGAGCCGAAGCCUUAUCGAGUCUAGUUGCAUUAGUAAGCCUUAGCCUCAUGCAUCCAUGUUAGAAUUUUCCUAGGUUAGAGUCGGCCUUACCCUAUUAAGCACAUUAGGCACGAGGGAAGGGGUUUCCACCCCUUUUACUUGUUUUUAUUUGUAUUUCUUUUCUUAAUUGCUCCCAAUGUGUUAUGUGUACUAUCAAUUGCACUAACCAUUCUUUUUGUUUUCUUGGCUUGCAUCCAUAUGCCUUAGUAAUAAGAGGCCUCUUUGGCACUCUUUUAGCCACUAGAUAACUCGCAUGUUUAAAUUUCAGUUAUUGCACUUAAUUUUCAAUAAGUACAUUUCACUUUAGACCUUUUCCCCUCGAUGCAUUAUUUAUGUCCUUUAGGCCAUAUUUGUCACAUAUUUACACCGCUUUAAUAAACUGGCAUCAUGCAUUAAACCCUAGAAAGGGAAUGCCACUUAGGGAAUCCCGUGGUUAGGAAUAAGCCACCCCAUGUCUUGGAUAUAUAAUCCAAUGAGACUUGCACGUUUACCUUUCUCGUACCAUCCGAAGGAGUAGUGCACAAGGUAAGGUAAGGAUUCGAUUUUUUUGAAGAAAAUAAAGCAACUUUUGCACGUUAGAAUAUGAGCGUCUGAUAAUCACUUUUUGGCCAUUUUUAAACCUAAUUGGUAAAAAUCCCUUGCAUAAAGGACAUUAAUUUGAAGAAAUUCACAAAUGAUUCCUCCUGUUGAGACGAUGAAUAAAUUGAGGCCAAAUCGUGAUUUUAGAAGGCUUAUAGACUAAUUUUCUGAAGCCACCAAUGGCCGGCCGAUUCAAUCGAUCCAUUUUGUCAAUUCAUAAUCAAUUUUGAAUAAAUCGUCAAUUCAUUUGACCAAUUUACCCUUUUUAGGGUCAUUUGACCAAUUUACCCUUUUUAGGGUCAUCCGAUCAAUUUUGAAUAAAUCGUCAAUUCAUUUGACCAAUUUACCCUUUUUAGGGUCAUCUGGUCGAUUUUUGAAAAAUCAUCUAUUCAUUUGACCAAUUUACCCUUUUUAGGGUCAUCCGGUCGAUUUUUGAAGUUCAUUCAAUUCAUUUGACCAAUUUACCCUUUUAGGGUGAUUUGGUCGAUUUUUGCAUAAAUCAUCAAUCUCUCUUUCAUUCAUUUGGCCCAUUCACCCAUUUUUAGGGCAAUCGAAUCGAUUUUGAAUAAAUCAAGUUUCCUUCAUUUGACCAAUCUACCCUUUUUAGGGUGAUUCGAUCAAAUUUUGAAUAAAUCAAAUUUCAUUUAAUUCAUUUGACCAAUUUAUCCUUUUUAGGGUCAUCCGGUCGAUUUUUGAAUAAAUCUUCGUUUCAUUUGGCCGAUUCACUCAUUUUUAGGGCAAUCUAGUCGAUUUUUGAAUAAAUCACUAAUUUCAUUCAAUUCAUUUGAUUAGUUAGGGCAUUUUUUGUCGAUAAGUCAUCAAGUUCGUCCGAUUCAUUGGACCAGUUUACCCUUUUAGGGCGAUCUGGUCAAUUUUGAAUAAACUCUCGAUUUCAUUCAAUUCAUUUGACCAAUUUCAUUUUUGAAUAAAAUUCUCAAUUUCAUUCGAUCAAGUUCUUUUUUUAGGAUGAUUUGGUCCAUUUGUCCAUUUUGAGUAAGUUAUUAAAUUCCACUCAAUUCAUUUGACCCGUUUCCCUUUUUAGGAUAAUCCGGUCGAUUUUAAAUAAAUGGUCAAUGUCAUUUCAAACCCAUUUGACCAAUCAGGGUUUCAGUGUCGAAUUUCAAAUUGAGAAAUCUAGUCGAUUUUGAGAAAAAACAUCCAUUGCAUCCAGCCAUUUGAUCAGUUGGAGUUUUGACCCGUGCUUCAUUGAGAAAAUUUGUCAACGAAUUCCAAUCUCUUCGAUAGGAAGUUCGUCAAGGUCAAACCCGUAUGUUUUUUGCAAGUUCUUGUAUCGACCAAAAGUGAUCAAUCCCUUCGGACGAGGUUCUCAUUUUGACCAACGUCUCUUCUCAUCCCAAUGGGCCAAAUUUUUUCAAAUUAUUUUUCACUCCAUGAGUUGAUCGGAUCCAUCAGGUAUUGUAUAGUGCCUACUCUAGCGGAUUGCAUUUUCAUGCUAGGCCUACCCUUGGCAUAAAAAGGGUUCCCCCAUAGGACAUGCAUACCGAUUUUGCAGUUUUGCCUACUAACUCGGGGUAUUUUUCUUUUGUUUUCCCCCUCCCCUGCAUUCAUAAAAAUGUUUCAAUAAGACGAAAAUAUUCUUCUAUAUCUGAUGGUAAUUUUAAUCCAAUAAAGUUUGAGGAUUACAAGUGUUAUUUGAUUCUUGGGCAGAUCCUACAAUAAAAACAUAAAUGAUCCAUUUGGAAGCUCUACGCUAAAGCCUCUGAGAGAUGUUGUAAUUAUUUUCCAAAGGGAAAUUCUGUUUAUUUGAUUUGUUUAUAAAAUUUUGUUCCAAAAGAAAAGGAGACGAUAAAUUCUCUUCUCAUUUGUAUCAUAAUUGAACGAGAAAUUUUGUUUCAAAUUGUUUUUCAGCAAUAAAAUUUUUGGACAAUUAUUGUUUUGUGUAUAUUUAUGUACAUUUCAUUCUUUAUUCUUACUCAUUGGAGAUUUCAUGAUGAAUUUUGAAAAAUAAAACUAAAUUGAGAUUUUUUCAACCUCCAGCCUGAAAAUUCACAAGUGUAUGCUUCCUAAAAUCUUUACACUGGCGAUCCGAGCCAUACAAUAAGAGUGCUCAGGAAAAGAGGUGAAUGGUCACUCAAAAGGCCCAAUGAGAUACCCUCACUUAACCCCAAAAUAAAAUCAGUCACAUUGAUGGAUAAAUUGCAAAUUGGGGCUAUCCUUGCUUGAGAAAUGCCUAUUGGUUUAACCAGAUUCAAUUCACAUCUAAGUGAAAGCAGAAAUGUGCAUUAUCCUUGUUUGUUUUGAAAAUUUGGAAUGAUACUUCAAGCAUUCUUUUCUCUACCUAUACACAUUUUAUCAUUUGAUCUCCCAUUUGAGCCUUUGAAAGAAUAAUUUCGUUUCAAAUAAGAGCCCUAAUGAUCACUACCCUAUAUUGGAAAAUUUUCAAAUAUCAAAAAGGGGAAUGGAUUUUCAAUGACCAUUUCACUACUUUGGUUGUCAUGAGGUGUAAGAAUGAUACUUUGGCCGUCAUUUCUACAACCUAAACACUGAUCAUCCCUUGCAUCCUCAUUUGAGCUAAAAAUUGGUGGUUCUUUUCGAGUGCACAUAUGAUUGCACCCUACAUUGGGGAAGGAGAUUGGGGAAUUUUGAAAAAAAAAAAAAAAAGAAAGAGAAAGAAGAGUUUUGUCCACGUGGAUCGCCUAUGUUUCACAAAUAUGGAUGAACAAGGGUCUUCCUCAGUCAAUCACACUAAAUUCUAGCAGGUCCAAGGUACAGAAGUUUAUGAUGUAACUGAGAUAGAGAUCAUAGGCCAUCUGCUCGAAGUUCAUCAAAUGCAAUUUUAACCACAAAAGAAAGCAGUAGGUACCCACUUCAUCUCAGUUUUGGUCAAGAAAAUUGCUGGAGUAACGUCAAUCAACCUCUGUACCUCCAAAGGAAGAGAAUUUGAAUUGCACUCUCGAAACUAGCAAUGCCCAAUUUGCACCCAACUAGACAGUUAAAUAUCUUUGUCAGUGAGAUUUAACUUUCUGGUGAGUUCAUUACUAUAGUUUCAUCAAAAUAUCUUUGUUGCAAAAAUUUUGCGGGCUGCUAUCUUUACAAUUCAUGCAAAAUAAUAAAGGUUUUUUAUAACCCAUCAGCUGUUUGAUAAAUUGCCUCUUUCAAACUAAGUUCAAAAUUCGUUCAACGCCUUGGCUGCUAGUUCAUGCCUCCAAGUAUAGUCAUCAGCCCAUCAUCUCUACCUCGUUCAAACACUAGCAAUCAUCAUCUUCAUGAUAAUAAUUUUUUUCUAGCCAAAGGUGAAAUCCAUUCCGGUUCAAUAGAAAAAAGUUCUACAUUCUUUAAGGAUUUUGUGCUAAGGUUUCCAAGGAGCGGCUUGGGUAGUGGUGCGGCAGUCCAUGGCUGCCAUCUGCCCACCUGAUGGAGGGUAGCCUGCCCCUCCUACCUUUCAACGCAAAUCCUUUUCAGAGUUGUUCACGAAGAAUUCACAGCAGCCGACGCUAUCCUUUGCGGCACAGGAGGCUACACACAAAGGGGAACCUGCGUUGAU
rnacentral:lncRNA from 1 species